rnacentral:rRNA from 1 species
AGCGGCGGACGGGUGAGUAAUGCCUAGGAAUCUGCCUGGUAGUGGGGGAUAACGUUCGGAAACGGACGCUAAUACCGCAUACGUCCUACGGGAGAAAGCAGGGGACCUUCGGGCCUUGCGCUAUCAGAUGAGCCUAGGUCGGAUUAGCUAGUUGGUGGGGUAAUGGCUCACCAAGGCGACGAUCCGUAACUGGUCUGAGAGGAUGAUCAGUCACACUGGAACUGAGACACGGUCCAGACUCCUACGGGAGGCAGCAGUGGGGAAUAUUGGACAAUGGGCGAAAGCCUGAUCCAGCCAUGCCGCGUGUGUGAAGAAGGUCCUCGGAUUGUAAAGCACUUUAAGUUGGGAGGAAGGGCAGUUACCUAAUACGUAAUUGUUUUGACGUUACCGACAGAAUAAGCACCGGCUAACUCUGUGCCAGCAGCCGCGGUAAUACAGAGGGUGCAAGCGUUAAUCGGAAUUACUGGGCGUAAAGCGCGCGUA